rnacentral:rRNA from 1 species
GACGAACGCUGGCGGCGUGCUUAACACAUGCAAGUCGAACGGAGUGGCGAACGGGUGAGUAACACGUGGGUGAGCUGCCCUGCACUUCGGGAUAAGCCUGGGAAACAGGGGCUAAUAACGGAUAGGGUGGGAUGGGCCCGCGGCCUAUCAGCUGGUUGGUGGGGUAAUGGCCUACCACGGCGGCGAAGGGUAGCCGGCCUGGGAGGGAGGACGGCCACAUUGGGACUGAGACACGCCCCAGACUCCUACGGGAGGCAGCGGUGGGGAAUAUUGCACAAUGGGCGGACGCGUGAUGCAGCGACGCCGCGUGGGGGAUGACGGCCUUCGGGUUGUAAACUCCUUUCACCAUCGACGCGGUAGAUGGAGAAGAAGCACCGGCUAACUACGUGCCAGCAGCCGCGGUAAUAC